GACAGAGGAUGCAAGCGUUAUCCGGAAUGAUUGGGCGUAAAGCGUCUGUAGGUGGCUUUUCAAGUCCGCCGUCAAAUCCCAGGGCUCAACCCUGGACAGGCGGUGGAAACUACCAAGCUGGAGUACGGUAGGGGCAGAGGGAAUUCCCGGUGUAGCGGUGAAAUGCGCAGAUAUCGGGAAGAACACCCGUGGCGAAGGCGGCUCUCUGGAACGGUACUGACGCUGAGACGCGAAAGCGUGGGGAGCGAACAGG
rnacentral:rRNA from 1 species